rnacentral:rRNA from 1 species
GAUGAACGCUAGCUACAGGCUUAACACAUGCAAGUCGAGGGGAAACGACAUCGAAAGCUUGCUUUUGGUGGGCGUCGACCGGCGCACGGGUGAGUAACGCGUAUCCAACCUGCCCACCACUUGGGGAUAACCUUGCGAAAGUAAGACUAAUACCCAAUGAUAUCCCACGAAGGCAUCCGAAUGGGAUUAAAGAUUUAUCGGUGAUGGAUGGGGAUGCGUCUGAUUAGCUUGUUGGCGGGGUAACGGCCCACCAAGGCGACGAUCAGUAGGGGUUCUGAGAGGAAGGUCCCCCCACAUUGGAACUGAGACACGGUUCAAACUCCUACGGGAGGCAGCAGUGAGGAAUAUUGGUCAAUGGGCGAGAGCCUGAACCAGCCAAGUAGCGUGCAGGAUGACGGCCCUAUGGGUUGUAAACUGCUUUUAUAGGGGAAUAAAGUGAGCCACGUGUGGCUUUUUGCAUGUACCCUAUGAAUAAGGACCGGCUAAUUCCGUG